AUUGCAGUCGACGCUUCUUUUUCACCGGAGCUUGCUCCACCGGAAAAAGAGGAGUGGCGAACGGGUGAGUAACACGUGGGUAACCUGCCCAUCAGAAGGGGAUAACACUUGGAAACAGGUGCUAAUACCGUAUAACAAUCAAAACCGCAUGGUUUUGAUUUGAAAGGCGCUUUCGGGUGUCGCUGAUGGAUGGACCCGCGGUGCAUUAGCUAGUUGGUGAGGUAACGGCUCACCAAGGCCACGAUGCAUAGCCGACCUGAGAGGGUGAUCGGCCACAUUGGGACUGAGACACGGCCCAAACUCCUACGGGAGGCAGCAGUAGGGAAUCUUCGGCAAUGGACGAAAGUCUGACCGAGCAACGCCGCGUGAGUGAAGAAGGUUUUCGGAUCGUAAAACUCUGUUGUUAGAGAAGAACAAGGAUGAGAGUAACUGUUCAUCCCUUGACGGUAUCUAACCAGAAAGCCACGGCUAACUACGUGCCAGCAGCCGCGGUAAUACGUAGGUGGCAAGCGUUGUCCGGAUUUAUUGGGCGUAAAGCGAGCGCAGGCGGUUUCUUAAGUCUGAUGUGAAAGCCCCCGGCUCAACCGGGGAGGGUCAUUGGAAACUGGGAGACUUGAGUGCAGAAGAGGAGAGUGGAAUUCCAUGUGUAGCGGUGAAAUGCGUAGAUAUAUGGAGGAACACCAGUGGCGAAGGCGGCUCUCUGGUCUGUAACUGACGCUGAGGCUCGAAAGCGUGGGGAGCAAACAGGAUUAGAUACCCUGGUAGUCCACGCCGUAAACGAUGAGUGCUAAGUGUUGGAGGGUUUCCGCCCUUCAGUGCUGCAGCUAACGCAUUAAGCACUCCGCCUGGGGAGUACGACCGCAAGGUUGAAACUCAAAGGAAUUGACGGGGGCCCGCACAAGCGGUGGAGCAUGUGGUUUAAUUCGAAGCAACGCGAAGAACCUUACCAGGUCUUGACAUCCUUUGACCACUCUAGAGAUAGAGCUUCCCCUUCGGGGGCAAAGUGACAGGUGGUGCAUGGUUGUCGUCAGCUCGGGUCGUGAAAUGUUGGGUUAAGUCCCGCAACGAGCGCAACCCUUAUUGUUAGUUGCCAUCAUUCAGUUGGGCAUUUAGCAAGACUGCCGGUGACAACCGGAAGAAGGUGGGGAUGACGUCAAAUCAUCAUGCCCCUUAAGACCGGGGCUACACGGGCUACAAUGGGAAGUAAAUUUGCAAAUCCCGCUAAACAAAUCCUUAAAGCUUCUCCAUUCGGAAUGGAGGUGCUCCCCGGUAGGGAACCCGAAAAACCGGAACCCCCCCCCGGGAAAACCUUCCCGGCCCUUUAAAAAAAGUGUGGGGAAUUAAAAAA
rnacentral:rRNA from 1 species